rnacentral:lncRNA from 1 species
GCGCCUGCAUACGGAGUAUAUAUCUCCAAAUUGAUACGAUAUUCCCGGGCUAGUAUUUCCUAUCAUGAUUUCCAUGAUAGAGGGUUGAUGCUAACAAGGAUGCUAUGGAACUAAGAGUUUCAAAUGCUGAAGUUGAAAUAAACUCUUAUACGUUUUACGAACGCCAUCACGAGUUAAGCAAUGUCAUCAGAAGGAGUAUUGUAAAAAUAUGAAAUACGUAAAACGAUAAAUCCAUACAUAUAACAGGAACUUCUAACUCUUCUGGAGCUUUGAUUUGAAUAUAUAUAAAUUAGAAUAACAAAUCAUCUUUACCCAUUAAUAUAUUUGUAUCACAAAAUGGAAAAUAUACGAUUUAAAAAUAAUGUUGGACAUUCGGGAGGCUGUACAGCGAGUUUCCGCCAUUCGAAAAAGUAAAAGUCGCUAAGGUAAAAAGUUAAAUGUACAGCAGUUGUGAGUUAACAUGACUUCUGUUUAAAAGAAGGGCGAAAGAUACCAG